GCCGUCAUGAACAAGGUUUUCUCAUCAUGUUCACCCCAAGUUUCUGUAGCUCCUAAUUCAUCCAUUGGAAAUUAUAAGGCUGAAAUCCUUUGGUGCUGGGGAAAAGAAGAUAUGUAAUAAAACAGAGAAGGUUUUGGCAGUAUUUUCAAACAGAUAACAAAGGAAC